UACUUGCCUAUAAAUAGAUUUCCUACUAAGCUUACUCAAUGUAUCAAAAACAAACAUAAGUUUUCUCUUUACAAGUUCAGGUUUGUUCUUCUUCUUAUUUCAGGAAUCAUGUCUGACUGUGGUUGUGGAUCAGGCUGUUCAUGCGGUACUAGCCUUGAAAGGUGCAACAUGUAUCCUGACUUUGAUGAGUGCUCCGAGAUUCAAAGCUUUAUGGUUGGUGUUGCUCCUUAUACAACGUUUGGUGCAGGGAUGGGAGUAGAAGGAGAUGGUGAUGAUAAGGGCAGUAGUGCUCAUGUUAAAAUUCAGGCUAUCUAGACCAUUCAACUGUGACAGAUGCGCAGAUAGACACUGAAGUAAUUAUCUAUCCUUGCUGUCUAAGCAAGAAAUUUCUCAAUAUGCUUGUAAAAAUAAAGUUGGAUAUGUGUGGUUUUUCUAAUAACCACCAUAUGUAAUGAUGUCUUUCAUGCUGUUCUUCAACUUUUGUUUUCUUUUUCGUGUGGAAACAAGAAAAGAAAACUGUGGUGGCUGUACUAUGUUUCGGUUUGGGUUUAUUAAUCAUAUUAUUGAAAUAUUGAGGCCUUUA